rnacentral:lncRNA from 1 species
CGCUGCAACCCAAGCCACCACAGCCCUUGUCGGUCAGAGUCGGAGCCCCACACUGGAAUGGUUCCAGAUGGCCCCCAUCAUCCCCCACCCUCCUCUCUGGACCUCUUGCUUUGAGGCCAUCAACAUUUCCCAUCACUGCCACGCGAAAAGUAGAAGCCUGACUGAGCCAAGGAGAUUUUUGGUCAAGCUGAUGCUAAGCACGUACUCAUCUCUCUGACCUCUCUGGAUGCUGCCUCCAAGCCCUUUUGCCAGAGGAUUCUCUACGAAUAUAUUCUAGGAGGUGUUCCAUAGACACAAUGAAAGUGUGUAUAGUGUGUGUGUGUGGGGGGGGGGGCUCAUGUGCAUGGACACAGGACAGGACACAUCUCCGGAAGACCACCAGAUCCUUGCACUGAGCACAUAGGACAGCACUGGGAUAUUGGCUCAAGAGAGACGUUCAUUCUUCAAUGUGACAGUUGGUCCUGAGUGUCAACCUGAUGGACUGAGAGACAGGAAGAUUAGCAAGCAUGCCUCUGGGCAUGUCUUUGAAGAGCUUUCCAGAUCCAAUUAGACAGUGAGUAGUCCGACUUAAUCGGUGGUUGAAAUCACUGAUGGAUUCAUGAUUUGACUAGAUAGGUGGUGGAGCUGAGGCGAGCAGGGCUUCCUAGGAGGAAAAUGAUCGUGCGGAAGUGUCCUCGGGGACUCGUCUGGCCCCUUCGGUGACUGCCCUGUUCUGUUUCCCGUCCACUAUGAGGAUCUCUCAAGUACUUUGGUCACCGCUACAGCUGAGUAUGAGCACCUACAAACAGUUGGCUCCAACACAGCCUCCCACUGUGGACACUAAAGUCUGUGGAUCUACAGCCUCUCUGUAAAACAGCAGCAUCAACGUGGAACCUAUUCAUAUCCUUCCUCUUUCCUCCUUUCUUCUUUCUCCAUCUCUUUUGUCUGCUGCUGCUGCUGCUGCUGUUAUUGUUUUUGUUGUAAGACAGGCUCUCCCCAUAUAGCCCAUUCUGGGCUCCAACAUAUGGCCUAAUGUUCCCAAGUGCUAGGAUUAUAA